CAGGCGAUGUCUGCAGGCCAGACUCCACUAUAGAGCAAAUCCUUGAUAUUCAAGCUAAGCGGUCAAUUUUGAGAUGGUAUAUGCAAGACCUACCGCGAGGCCAAGAUCCAACACAGAAAAAGAACUGCAAAGACAACCAUGGUAUAAAUUAUCUGGAUUGAUAGGGAUUGCUACAUGGACCGUAAAUAAGGUGAAGGUAUAAUGCAUAAAGAUUGGGAAACAAACCUCUUGGAUUUGGUUGAGAAAUAUUAUCUAUAAUUUCAAAAGAUGG